rnacentral:rRNA from 1 species
GCGGAGACAAAGAGAAGCGACGUGGGGAGGGCAAGCGGACCUCAUAAAGUGCGUCGUAGUCCGGAUUGGAGUCUGCAACUCGACUCCAUGAAGUCGGAAUCGCUAGUAAUCGUGGAUCAGAAUGCCACGGUGAAUACGUUCCCGGGCCUUGUACACACCGCCCGUCACACCAUGGGAGUGGGUUGCAAAAGAAGUAGGUAGCUUAACCUUCGGGAGGGCGCUUACCACUUUGUGAUUCAUGACUGGGGUGAAGUCGUAACAAGGUAACCGUAGGGGAACCUGCGGUUGGAUCACCUCCUUACCUUAAAGAAGC